CAGUCGAGGGGUAGAGUUAGCUUGCUAACUUGAGACCGGCGCACGGGUGCGUAACGCGUAUGCAAUCUACCUUUUGCAGAGGGAUAGCCCAGAGAAAUUUGGAUUAAUACCUCAUAGUAUAUAUGAAUGGCAUCAUUUAUAUAUUAAAGUCACAACGGCAAAAGAUGAGCAUGCGUCCCAUUAGCUAGAUGGUAAGGUAACGGCUUACCAUGGCUACGAUGGGUAGGGGUCCUGAGAGGGAGAUCCCCCACACUGGUACUGAGACACGGACCAGACUCCUACGGGAGGCAGCAGUGAGGAAUAUUGGACAAUGGGCGCAAGCCUGAUCCAGCCAUGCCGCGUGCAGGAUGACGGUCCUAUGGAUUGUAAACUGCUUUUGUACGGGAAGAAACCCUCCUACGUGUAGGAGCUUGACGGUACCGUAAGAAUAAGGAUCGGCUAACUCCGUGCCAGCAGCCGCGGUAAUACGGAGGAUCCAAGCGUUAUCCGGAAUCAUUGGGUUUAAAGGGUCCGUAGGCGGUUUAGUAAGUCAGUGGUGAAAGCCCAUCGCUCAACGGUGGAACGGCCAUUGAUACUGCUAAACUUGAACUAUUAGGAAGUAACUAGAAUAUGUAGUGUAGCGGUGAAAUGCUUAGAGAUUACAUGGAAUACCAAUUGCGAAGGCAGGUUACUACUAAUGGAUUGACGCUGAUGGACGAAAGCGUGGGUAGCGAACAGGAUUAGAUACCCUGGUAGUCCACGCCGUAAACGAUGGAUACUAGCUGUUGGGCGCAAGUUCAGUG
rnacentral:rRNA from 1 species